rnacentral:lncRNA from 1 species
AGGAAGAGCUCGUCCGUGGCGUCGCCGCCGCGAGUCAGCCCGCCGAUGGACUUGAGCUGAUACGUGGCAUGCUUCUCGAGGUCACCGGAGAGGUCAGUGUAGGCGGUGGCGCCCGACUCAAGCUUCCAGAGCUUCGCGGGGCUGACCUCCUGCACGGCAUAGUAGGUGGUGCCAAUCUUGGUGACGCCCUCGAAUCCGAGGUUGGACGCCGCCUUCGGGGUGAUACCUUGGACGAGAGUCGUGGCGCCGGAGUAGGUGCCGUCGGUGUUGAGGGUAACCUCGGUGAUCUUGACUGGGUUCUCGUCGGUGAUGGCGAACUUUCGGCCGCCCAGCGCAGAGAUACCCUCGAGGUCGAGGGUGAGGGCCUUGACGUCCCACUUUUGUAUGAGCUUGUUCGGAUACUCGAUCUCGUAGAUCAUGCGAUCGCCGUUGUUCACGGCGAAGAGGG